CCUACGGGUGGCAGCAGUGAGGAAUAUUGGUCAAUGGGCGUAAGCCUGAACCAGCCAAGCCGCGUGAGGGAUGAAGGUUCUAUGGAUCGUAAACCUCUUUUAUAAGGGAAUAAAGUGUGGGACGCGUCCUAUUUUGUAUGUACCUUAUGAAUAAGGAUCGGCUAACUCCGUGCCAGCAGCCGCGGUAAUACGGAGGAUCCGAGCGUUAUCCGGAUUUAUUGGGUUUAAAGGGUGCGUAGGCGGCCUUUUAAGUUAGCGGUGAAAGCCCGUGGCUCAACCACGGAAUUGCCGUUGAAACUGGGGGGCUUGAGUGUGUGUGAGGCAGGCGGAAUGCGUGGUGUAGCGGUGAAAUGCUUAGAUAUCACACAGAACCCCGAUUGCGAAGGCAGCCUACCAAGCCAUGACUGACGCUGAUGCACGAAAGCGUGGGGAUCAAACAGGAUUAGAUACCCGGGUAGUC
rnacentral:rRNA from 1 species